UUGCUACAGAUACCAAUCAAUAUUGUGUGUACUGACCAACUCAGUUUUCAAACAACCUGUCGAACUGAACCCCGAAAAGUCUCCACUUGAAAUCAAUGGAUUCCAUCUGAAUCUGACAUGACUAAACCUCUCAGACAGUGUUAUACUAAUCCUUGAAGUUCUGUCCUCACAUUCUUCAAAAGUGUUAACUUUCGUCGACUUGAGCUUCCUCAAAUUCAGCAGUUACAAACUCUUCUGUUCAAUCCUAAGGUUCUGACAUAAAUGCACGAAACUGAUUUGGUGUGGUAGUAACUCGAUAAUUAUAUCCUUAAACCUCCACAGUU
rnacentral:lncRNA from 1 species